GGAUAACCUACCCUUAGGACCGGGAUAACCUUGGGAAACUGAGGCUAAUACCGGAUAGGCAAUUUUUCCUGUAAUGGUUUUUUGUUUAAAUGUUUUUUCGCCUAAGGAUGGGUCUGCGGCCGAUUAGGUAGUUGGUUAGGUAAUGGCUUACCAAGCCGUUGAUCGGUACGGGUUGUGAGAGCAAGAGCCCGGAGAUGGAACCUGAGACAAGGUUCCAGGCCCUACGGGGUGCAGCAGGCGCGAAACCUCCGCAAUGUGAGAAAUCGCGACGGGGGGAUCCCAAGUGCCAUUCUUAACGGGAUGGCUUUUCAUUAGUGUAAAAAGCUUUUGGAAUAAGAGCUGGGCAAGACCGGUGCCAGCCGCCGCGGUAACACCGGCAGCUCUAGUGGUAGCAACUUUUAUUGGGCCUAAAGCGUCCGUAGCCGGUUUAAUAAGUCUCUGGUGAAAUCCUGUAGCUUAACUGUGGGAAUUGCUGGAGAUACUAUUAGACUUGAGACCGGGAGAGGUUGGAGGUACUCCCAGGGUAGAGGUGAAAUUCUGUAAUCCUGG
rnacentral:rRNA from 1 species